AGUGAACGCUGGCGGUAGGCCUAACACAUGCAAGUCGAACGGCAGCACAGUAAGAGCUUGCUCUUACGGGUGGCGAGUGGCGGACGGGUGAGGAAUACAUCGGAAUCUACUUUUUCGUGGGGGAUAACGUAGGGAAACUUACGCUAAUACCGCAUACGACCUACGGGUGAAAGCAGGGGAUCUUCGGACCUUGCGCGAUUGAAUGAGCCGAUGUCGGAUUAGCUAGUUGGCGGGGUAAAGGCCCACCAAGGCGGCGAUCCGCAGCUGGUCUUAGAGCAUGAUCGGCCGCACUGGAACUGAGACACGGUCCAUACUCCUACGCGAGGCAGCAGUGGGGAAUAUUAGACAAUGGGCGCAAGCCUGAUCCAGCCAUACCGCGUGGGUGAAGGAGGCCUUCGGGUUGUAAAGCCCUUUUGUUGGGAAAGAAAAGCAGCAGGUUAAUACCCCGCUGUUCUGACGGUACCCAAAGAAUAAGCACCGGCUAACUUCGUG
rnacentral:rRNA from 1 species